UCCUUUUUUCCCCCUUCUUUUCCCCAAAAUUUCAAAUGAAAUCCCACCCGAAAUCUUUCUUCUUUUUUCCCCGUUUUAUUUUUCCCAAACCAUUUCUCCUUUAUUUUUUGCCCCCAAUUUCCCCAAAUCGACAGCCCUCUGCAUCUCCGUUGGUCCCGCCCAAUUUCGCAGCCUCGACUUCGGUGAACGAAACGACUACCUCAAAAGCUUCGUCACCGAUGUUAUCCAUGACCCAGGUCGCGGUGCGCCCUUAGCUUGCGUCGUGUUCCGUCAUCCAUUCCGUUACAAGAAGCAGAAGGAACUGUUUGUCAUAUUUUAUUUCUCUUUUAGUUAGAUUGAUGUCGAUGUGAAUGAGGGGGAUUUGAUUGUUACUAGCUUUUUGAGAUCGAAGUUGAAAUCAAUGUUGUGAACUUUUGUGGUUUGAUAGGUGAAGUACUGUUCAGAGAACAACAAGCGUCUGAUUCACUUCUCUACUUGUGAAGUGUAUGGAAAAACUAUUGGAAGCUUUCUUCCUAAAGAUUCUCCUCUCCGUCAGGAUCCUGCCUACUAUGUUCUUAAGGAAGAUACUUCCCCUUGCAUUUUUGGUUCAAUUGAGAAGCAGAGGUGGUCCAUGCAUGUGCUAAGCAGUUGAUUGAGAGGCUCAUUUAUGGUUAGCCCUUGUUUGACAAGGAACUGAACAAGUCCAAUCUACAUCUGAUGGAGUUGAUUCCACUCUUUCAAACCCCCUGUGUGAGGAGUCUGCUCAAAAUUCUUCAAAAUACUCUAACAGACAGAGGUUUGAUUGUGGCAUGUUUAUGUAUUCUUUAUAACAACUUCUAUAGCAGAGGCUUAAGUCUUUGUUUUGAGCAGGAACACAUGCCCUAUGCCCUAUUUUCGUUUAAGGACCGCCAAGGAAAUUUUGAAACUGAAAGCUGAUUGAUCGGAUGUGUAUGCCGGCUUUCAUCAACUACUUUCGAAGGCCUUACUAGGAAUUGAAAUGGUGUGCAAAGAGAUUGCUUCUUUUUAUCUGAUUUUUCGAUAUAAAUACUGGACAAAGUAUGGAUAUUUUACUGCUGUUAGUAAAAUAGGAUUCUCUUCUUAGGAUCUUAGUUUCUUCACUUGUAUUAGAUUCAACAAUGGCUUGCAUUGCAUUGGUGUUGAUUUUACCAAAAUUUUGAGGUUUACAAUUUUUAAUUUUUAUUAAUUAUUUACGUUUUCUCA